AUUGAACGCUGGCGGCAUGCCUUACACAUGCAAGUCGAACGGCAGCACGGGAGCAAUCCUGGUGGCGAGUGGCGAACGGGUGAGUAAUAUAUCGGAACGUGCCCGGUCGUGGGGAUAACGUAGCGAAAGCUACGCUAAUACCGCAUACGAUCUACGGAUGAAAGCGGGGGAUCGCAAGACCUCGCGCGAUUGGAGCGGCCGAUAUCAGAUUAGGUAGUUGGUGAGGUAAAGGCUCACCAAGCCGACGAUCUGUAGCUGGUCUGAGAGGACGACCAGCCACACUGGGACUGAGACACGGCCCAGACUCCUACGGGAGGCAGCAGUGGGGAAUUUUGGACAAUGGGCGAAAGCCUGAUCCAGCCAUGCCGCGUGUGUGAAGAAGGUCUUCGGAUUGUAAAGCACUUUAAGUUGGGAGGAAGGGUAGUAACCUAAUACGUUGCUACUUUGACGUUACCGACAGAAUAAGACACCGGCUAACUUCGUGCCAGCAG
rnacentral:rRNA from 1 species